rnacentral:rRNA from 1 species
UACGGGGGAGCAAGCGUUGUUCGGAUUUACUGGGCGUAAAGGGCGCGUAGGCGGUCAGCACAAGUCAGUUGUGAAAUCUCCGGGCUUAACUCGGAAAGGUCAACUGAUACUGUGCGACUAGAGUGCAGAAGGGGCAACUGGAAUUCUCGGUGUAGCGGUGAAAUGCGUAGAUAUCGAGAGGAACACCUGCGGCGAAGGCGGGUUGCUGGCUGACACUGACGCUGAUGCGCGAAAGCCAGGGAGCGAACGGG